rnacentral:rRNA from 1 species
AGAGUUUGAUCCUGGCUCAGGGCGAACGCUGGCGGCGUGGAUAAGGCAUGCAAGUCGAGCGCAGGCUUGCCUGUGGGUUCUGCCUACAGGCAGGUGCUGAGCGGCGAACGGGCGAGUAACGCGUGCCUAACCUACCCCGGAGACCGGGAUAACCCUGGGAAACUGGGGCUAAUACCGGAUACGCUCCCUCGUCGCAUGGCGGGGGAGGAAAGGUGUCCGUUCCGAAAGGGCGGAUGCCGCUCCGGGAUGGGGGCGCGUCCCAUCAGGUAGUUGGUGGGGUAACGGCCCACCAAGCCUAUGACGGGUAGCCGGCCUGAGAGGGUGGCCGGCCGCACCGGGACUGAGACACGGCCCGGACCCCUACGGGGGGCAGCAGCCGAGGAUCUUGGGCAAUGCCCGAAAGGGUGACCCAGUGACGCCGCGUGGGGGAGGAAGCCCUUCGGGGUGUAAACCCCUGUUGGCGAGGGAAGAAGCCGUCCCUUCGGGGACGGUUGACGGUACCUCGCGAGAAAGCCCCGGCUAACUCCGUGCCAGCAGCCGCGGUAAAACGGAGGGGGCGAGCGUUGCCCGGAUUUACUGGGCUUAAAGGGUCCGUAGGCGGUGUCCCAAGUCCUCCGUGAAAGCUGCCCGCUCAACGGGCAGAGGUCGGGGGAGACUGGGACACUUGAGGGCGGACGAGGCCGGCGGAACGGCGGGUGUAGCGGUGAAAUGCGUCGAUAUCCGCCGGAACACCAGUGGCGAAGGCGGCCGGCUGGGACGCCCCUGACGCUGAGGGACGAAGGCCGGGGGAGCGAACCGGAUUAGAUACCCGGGUAGUCCCGGCAGUAAACGUUGGGCGCUAGGUGUGGGGAGUCUCGACCCUCCCCGUGCCGCAGGGAAACCAAUAAGCGCCCCGCCUGGGGAGUACGGGCGCAAGCCUGAAACUCAAACCAAUUGACGGGGGCCCGCACAAGCGGCGGAGCAUGUGGCUUAAUUCGAUGCUACCCGAAGAACCUUACCAGGGCUUGACAUGCUGGCUUAAGCCUGCCCGAAAGGGCGGGGUGGGACGGUUUAAGCCGUCCAGCCAGCACAGGUGGUGCACGGCUGUCGUCAGCUCGUGCCGUGAGGUGUCCGGUUAAGUCCGGCAACGAGCGCAACCC